CGUUUUAAGAUUUGAAUAUGCAUUUUAUAUUAAUAUGAUAGUAAGGAUGCAUUUAUCCAAUAAGUAAAUUAAAGUAAUUGAUUCAAUCAUGUCGUACCAUAAACGAUUCUAGACGUACAAUGAUAUUUUAAUCAUGGCAGCCCUAAGCUCUGACACUUUUCUUACUUCCGUUCAUUUAAGUUUUUUUAUUAGUGUUUUCUAUUAACAGCAUUCAUUUUCAAUGCCUAAAACUUGUUAUUAAAUCUCGAAAUUAUUAAUUAAGGUCAUAAAUACCAAAGUUACCUCAACUAUCAGUGUCACAGUGAAUUAAAACCUUAAUAAGCAAAUAAAUGACAACCAUCUAACCGCCAUAUUGUAAAUAAAUAAGCUGUAUGGAGAAAGUUGACAAAGCAUUAUCACGACAGAAAUUUUAAUUGUACUGGAAAAGAUCGUCCUCGAGUCUGCUUUUUUACGAUUCUCUAAAUAUCCUACCCAUCGCCAAUCGCAAGAACUGUACAAGACAAACGCAAUAGAAUUUCGGAUUAAAACACGAUCAUGUUCUUCACUUUCGUCAAAUUUUAUAAAUCUUCAAUGAAUCUAGUGCCCUACGAUGACCUAUGACCUAAAGUUUGAACUGUAUAGAAACAAGGAUGUUUAAUUAAUGUGCCUAGUUCCUGUUCGAAUCGAUAUACCGAUCGAAAUGGGCUCAAAUAUGAAAUCUGUCACUCCUAGCAAGUAAACUGACAACUCUAUUGGAAUAGUCCCUGUUGCCUGACUUACAUGAACUGUUAACAAUGAAAAUAUAUUGAAAUUAUGCUGGAGAACCCCGCUUGCUGGAUUUGAUGAAUCUUUACACAACCUUAAAGAGUAAGUAUGACAUUUUUAAUACUACUACUAGACUACUACUAAACAAAUUCCCUUAGGCCUUACCUGACUGUAUUUGGAAUUCGAAAAAUGUUAUUGUUCUAUAAGAUGAUAUGGGUGUCCUUUUUUUAAAUAUGAGUAUUUUUUUUUUAAUUUGGAAGUGCAAGAUGUUAUGAAAAUUUAAAAUUAUGUGAUGACUUCAGCUAAAAUAUGAAUAGGAUUUCUUGCGUUACUGAAAAUUUGUUAGUGAAUUUGUAGUUUUCUUUCUAAAAGGAUCCCGGCAGUUGUCCGGUAACUGAAAAAGUGAACCUAAACUUGAACCUGUCAUAAAUAUUCCUCUUCUUGCAAUUAACCUUACAAUAUAUGUUUAAUUUUUCAGGAAACAGAGACAAGUCUGAUGGCUGCCUAUAUAUACCCAUACCUACUGUUUGGUGAUAUUUAAGCCGAGCGGAGCAAAUUUCCGUUUGUUGUUUUCAUGGACUUUUCCGAGUCUCUCGAUAAUUUCCAACUAACAGAAUGGUUUCCUGAUACCUGGCCGUUAGGUCACCUAGCAGUCAGUUAAACUUAAGCCAAGAGAAGGAAAUCUCGAUGGCUAUUUUCAUGAUUCCUGUUUCUCCAUGUCUUACCACAAUUUUCAAUGUUCCGGAGAACUGACAGUGCCCCGCAGAGUCAUUACGUCUAGCCUCAAAAUACACACUAUGGAAUGCUUCUAUUUCUGAAAGAUUACGAAGGACCACACCACUCCAGACUCCUGUUCAAUAAUUUUAUUUCACAACUUUUGCUGUAACAAUGGCUGCUGUCUACUGCCACUUCAAAGUUCCUGUUCCACGGCUCUAUUUCUAGAAACCUGCACCCACAUCA